AGGACACAGUUGGCGAUCAUCCACUUCAACGAGAAUGCAGACCGUGUCCAGUUGGAGAGGGAAGGCGCGAAGCAGUACCGUCUCAAGGCAUUGAAGGUUAAGAAGACGUGGGUGCUGUACCUCUGAAGGAGAGUGCUAGCUAUGAUUAUGCAUCAGCCUUGAUUGCUGAGGUGCUGACACGCAUUCAGGAGCGCAGAAGGGAGUCUGGAGCUGUGGCAACUCUGCCAACGCGGUCAUCAACAUAUGGUGAGAGGCCAAGCCUUACAGAAGCAGUCGUGAAGCAUCAGGCAAGGUUCCAGAAAUGAGGCUCCCACCUGCAUCACACACUGAACGUUGAAACUAAGCUAAAAAAAGGCCCUUUUCAGGGCCACCACAAGGUUUAUGCAGAGACAAGCGUUGCGUUAUGAACCCACCAAAGUGCUCAUUAUUGUUUUUGGUCCAGCUGCAUACACUUUUCUGAAUUGUGUUGCUGAUUCAAAUGAACUGCUUUUUUUUUUAAUUCCUUCUGUGGCUAUUAAUAGCAUCUAAUGAACCAUAUGCGCACCUGUGUGACUUUUAUUGGAAUUCCAGUUACAAUUUCAGCGCACAGAGGACACACUAAGGAUUCAAGAAUAUGGUGGUAUCGGGCUCCGAUAUGCAUAUGAUGGUAAGUUUUUUUAUCUUUGUCUUAAAUUUGUGUUUUUACUUUUUUCAGCACAUCGAGCUCGCACUGCUCGUAUGGAAGAAAAGAACCUGUUACCAUCCUGUCAACAUGAACCAUAAUGCCAGCUCCCUACAUAGCAACUGAAAAUAUAGCAAGAAUGAGGAAAUAAAAUGUACUAAAUACAAUCAGUUCUUGUUCGAAAUGUUUAAUAUAUGUAUCAGGUUCAGAAAGCUUCCAUAUACACAAAACUGUGGCAAUACACACACCGGCAAUAACUCUACCCUCCAUUUAGAAAUAAAGCAUAAAUCCAGGCUAAAGGGAAAAAAAGCAUAGGUUUUUUUUUCUUUGUAAACAUAGGUAAAAAACAUCGUACAAAAGAAACCUCGCUAUGGUGAAGCUGGAUAGACUAUU